rnacentral:lncRNA from 1 species
UUGAACGGUUGUGUACUCGAUGUACAUAUUCGUUAUAAGUUGCAACUUCUGACUCUCUUAUCUUCUCAUGUUGAAUUAUGCAAUUUCUAUAAUUCAAUUGUCUAUCGUGAGCUUUCAUCUUUGUAAGUUGGUUCUUAAAUUGCAUUAAAAAUGACUCUUUAAAUUCAAAUUUUAGUUCUGAAAUUUAAUUCUUACAUUAAAGUAACGAAUGACUUCCAUAUCAUAACCUUCCAAAUUAUCCCUUACGAGAUUUAUGAUUACGAUUAAAAGUAAUAUCAAUGUACUCAUUUAUCAAGAAAAUGAUAAAGGGGAUUAAGAACUUCAAAAUCUACCAUUAUGUAAUUAAAAUAUUUAUAUUCAAUCAAAUUUUAAUUUAGUAAAGGGACAAAAUGACAAUUCGACUUUUCACUUGUAAUAAUAUAUGAUCUCUGCAGCAAAACUUCUUCCUUGGAGCAAAUGAACAAUGUAGUGGGGAAUGAAUUAACUCAGCAGGCUUCCAAAGCAGCAGAUGCGUACUACUUUUCAGUUUUUUGUUCUUGACUAAUCCUUGCUAACCCACCUUUGACCACGAACUUGAAUAGCACCAAAGUUCUGAUCACUGCUACUUUCUCCACCACUUUCUGCACUCGUAUAUUCAGAUUUUCGACGGUGCUUCUUCUUCGUAGAAGUUCCACUAUCGCUUACGCUUCCGUUCAAAAGAGGAUCAUCGAUCCCACGUAUGACUCUUCUUGUUGGAGAUGAUGAGGCAACACCACUAUCGUCCUUUGUUUUUCUCCCUUUGUCAUGCUUCUUUAUGUUCUGAGAGAUUUCAUGUAAUUUUUGUAUUCCUUUCUCUACAGGUUCUACUGCUUGGGUUACUGUGAAUUUCAGGUCAUUCACUAUCUGUUUGCAGGACCAGAAAGUAUUGUUAGCAAGGAGAAGAGGAAGUAUGGAGACAGUAAGCUCGACGGAAUAAAUUUAAGAAAACAAGUAUCCUC